UUAUCUCCAGUCCAACCCAAUAAAAGGAAUCCCAUCUGAGCAAGAUCCCACACAAUCUGGCAACACUGAUUGCUGUUAGCAGCUUUAUUUUUCUGUAUUAUUCUCACAUGAAAUUACUGUUUUAUCAAAUUAUUAUGGUCUUUUCAUUUAUUGUAGUAUUUGCAUGCAUAAUUAAUCCUUUAAAAUCCUUUAGGAAAUAGCUGGGGCCAAAGCACUGCCUGAUAAAGCCUUCAAGACCAAACUGUAUAAGAAACUACUGAAGACGUGUGGGGAGUUUAAGCCACCACAGGAGGAGGAGAACUUUGACAUUCAUGUUCUUGAGAUGGGUUUUGGUGAAGUGGGUAAAGAGCCCAUUGAUAAUGUUCAUUUCUACAGCAAGAAUGAGCCAAACAGAGCCUUCAAGAUGCAGAAGUA